rfam:Flavobacterium succinicans strain DD5b FLB_contig000060, whole genome shotgun sequence.
GCCUAGCCCCGAUGGCAGUGGAAAUCCUCUUGUGCUGGGGUUCAGCACAAGAGAUUGUAACGAACAGCGGGACAACUC